rnacentral:rRNA from 1 species
CCUACGGGAGGCAGCAGUGGGGAAUAUUGCGCCAUGGGCGAAAGCCUGCCGCAGCGACGCCGCGUGAGGGAUGAAGGUCUUCGGAUCGUAAACCUCUGUCAGCAGGGAAGAACGGUCACUGUGCUAAUCAGCAGUGAAUUGACGGUACCUGCAAAGGCAGCACCGGCUAACUCCGUGCCAGCAGCCGCGGUAAUACGGAGGGUGCGAGCGUUAAUCGGAGUUACUGGGCGUACAGCGCUCGUAGGCGGUAUGUCAAGUCAAGGGUGAAAUCCCCGCGCUCAACGUGGGAACUGCCUUUGAAACUGGCAAACUGGAGUGUGUGAGAGGAUAGUGGAAUUCCAGGUGUAGGAGUGAAAUCCGUAGAUAUCUGGAGGAACAUCAGUGGCGAAGGCGACUAUCUGGCACAUAACUGACGCUGAGGAGCGAAAGCGUGGGUAGCAAACAGGAUUAGAUACCCGUGUAGUC